rnacentral:rRNA from 1 species
UGGGGAAUAUUGCACAAUGGGCGCAAGCCUGAUGCAGCCAUGCCGCGUGUGUGAAGAAGGCCUUCGGGUUGUAAAGCACUUUCAGCGAGGAGGAAGGUGGUGAACUUAAUACGUUCAUCAAUUGACGUUACUCGCAGAAGAAGCACCGGCUAACUCCGUGCCAGCAGCCGCGGUAAUACGGAGGGUGCAAGCGUCAAUCGGAAUUACUGGGCGUAAAGCGCACGCAGGCGGUUUGUUAAGUCAGAUGUGAAAUCCCCGGGCUCAACCUGGGAACUGCAUUUGAAACUGGCAAGCUAGAGUCUCGUAGAGGGGGGUAGAAUUCCAGGUGUAGCGGUGAAAUGCGUAGAGAUCUGGAGGAAUACCGGUGGCGAAGGCGGCCCCCUGGACGAAGACUGACGCUCAGGUGCGAAAGCGUGGGGAGCAAACAGGAUUAGAUACCCUGGUAGUCCACGCUGUAAACGAUGUCGAUUUUGGAGGUUGUGCCCUUGAGGCGUGGCUUCCGGAGCUAACG